UAGCCCAGAACAUAAGCAGCAAGAGCCC
rnacentral:piRNA from 1 species